rnacentral:lncRNA from 1 species
AAAAAAAUCCCUGUGGCCAGGGCUUCAAGAAUGGCCGAAGCUCUUGGUGGUCUCAUGGGCAUGUGGUGGUAACAGAGGUUUGGGAGAUGGAUGGGCAGGGUCUGGGGGCCGAGGGAGGUGGGAGGGAAAUCGGGUUGAGUUCCAGAUUCCCAGCUGGCACUUGUGGGCAGACAGUGGUGCUGCUUACUGAGUUGGGGGGUUGGGGAGACUUGGGGAGGAGCAGGGUGGAGAAAGGUGGGGCCUGCCUGGAUUUAGGUGCCAGACAAAGGGAAGAGAAGCAUGAGAGUGCUGGCUCAGAGGACAAGAAGUAUCCAGAAGAAAGAUGCACAGGAAGGUCACGUGAGAGAAAGGCCAUAUAACACUUAUCCGAAGUGGCCACUAGAAGCUCAGCUGGUCAGGGGGGUGCUGAAGGCAGAGGGCAGUGGUCAGGAGUGAAGUGAGGGUGCGAACUGAGUGUGUAGACAACAGGCAGGAGAGAGAGAGACACAGUGUGGCCAGAAGGGGUGUAGGUCAAAGAUGGAAACGUCCCCAGGUUCAGGUGGGUGGGCAGGAGAUGGGGAGGCUGAAGAUGGGGAGGAGAUCAUUGCUGAGAAGGGAUCUCGGAAGAAAGUGGGUGCAGAACAGAGGGGGCAGGAUGUGGGGAUGGCAUGGCACGGGGGCACUGGGGAGUGUGUAGGGACCCCCAUCUGUCAGGCGGCAGCUCAGGGCUUAGGGCAGGCUACUGGGCAAGGCCAGGGACCCCCAGAACAGAGGAGUUCCUGCCAUGGAUGGUGUUUUACAGCCUUGUCACUCCCCAUGCACUCUAAUCGCGCAUAUUGAGCACUUGGUGUGGGCUGGUCACCGUGCUGGACACUGGGGACAAAGUGUGGUAAGAUGCAGUCCCAAAGGGGCUAACAGUCCUGUGGGCUCUUGCUCAAAGGCUUGUAACCCAGGGUUAAGCUCCCAGCAGCUUGGAAGGCAGGUGUAGGCACCUCCAUUUGCCCUGAGUACAAACAGAGGUUCAGAGAGGUUUAGUGACAGGACGAAGCUCAUACGGCCAGGAAGUGGCUGUGUCCAGGACAGUUCCAGGCCCCCGACCCCAAGCCCCACCCUGGCCAGCAGGUUCAGUUUCAGCCAGGUGGCCUUUAGGGUUGGCCACCCUGUUCCUCUCAGCAAGAACAGUACAAGCUGAAGGCAAGCAAGCGCUCCUUCUUCUGAGCAUCCUGCGUGCCCAACCCUGUGGUGGGAGAGUUGAUGUCCCAGGAGAGGGACGUCUCCUGUUCUCUUGCUGCCCAGGAGAGGGCAGAAGCAAACCCUUCUGAGAGGGGAGACAGGGAGACAGGGAGAGGUAAGCAGGGAUGACUCCUCCUCUCCCCAAAGAGGCCACUCAGGGAGCCCUGGGAAGCCAGGCCAAAGGCGGUGCAAUAAAGGGGCCUCUGAGACUCUUCCCCAUGGCUGUGGUCCUGGCUCUGGGAUCUCAGGGUGCAGUCACCAUCCCCACCCAGCAGUGGGAAGGCCCAGGUGGGUGGAGCUGGCCUGGAGCCCGCCCCUGCUGCUGGGGCAUUGGCCGCUGGGAGGGAAGUUCCAGCCGGUCUGCUGCACCUUCUUAUACAAGCAACCCUGGAGGCUCCGCACCUGAGCAGGCAGCCCCGACUGGAAGGAGCGGGGGCCCUCAUUUCUCCUCCUCCACUGGGAACUGUGAGUGAGCCCUUGCCCCUGAGGGACUAGAGGGCGGCCACAGCAGUUUCUCCACUCUCUCCCCUCCCUUUCCCAAAUCCUAAAACCCACCUGGGGGCCCCUCCUCUCCGGAUCCAGGCCCAGCACCCACUUCCUAGGACAAACUCCGAGGGCAGCCCGAGGCCGCUGUGAUUGAGAGAAAGAAAUCACCUCUUUAGUCCCUGGCUCCCUUCAGCCCCCAGGGGCCUGAGAUGGGACCCACCUGCCCCCUCACUUCCUUCCCAGGCCUCAGUAGUUGACCUCACUCUAGACCUAUUUUUUAAUGUUUAUUUUAUUUUAAUAGUUGUGGGGAGCAGGUGGUGUUUGUUCUUUAGUGGCAAUUUCUGAGAUUUUGGUGCAGCCAUCACCCGAGUGGUGUGCACUGUACCCAAUGUGUAGUCUCUUGUCCCUCACCCCCCUCCCACCCUUCCCCCACUCCCAAGUCCCCAAAGUCCAUUAUAUCAUUCUUAGGCCUUUGCCUCCUCAU